AGAGUUUGAUCCUGGCUCAGGACGAACGCUGGCGGCGUGCCUAAUACAUGCAAGUCGAGCGAAUUGACGAAGAAGCUUGCUUCUUCUGAUGUUAGCGGCGGACGGGUGAGUAACACGUGGGCAACCUACCUUAUAGUUUGGGAUAACUCCGGGAAACCGGGGCUAAUACCGAAUAAUCUAUUUCUCCUCAUGAAGAAAUA
rnacentral:rRNA from 1 species